UACGUAGGGGUCUAGCGUUGUCCGGAAUUAUUGGGCGUAAAGAGCUCGUAGGCGGUUCGGCAAGUCAGAUGUGAAAUCUCCACGCUUAACGUGGAGGGGCCAUUCGAAACUGCCGUGACUCGAGUCCGGUAGGGGAGUGCGGAAUUCCCGGUGUAGCGGUGAAAUGCGCAGAUAUCGGGAGGAACACCAGUGGCGAAGGCGGCACUCUGGGCCGGAACUGACGCUGAGGAGCGAAAGCGUGGGGAGCGAACAGG
rnacentral:rRNA from 1 species